GUUGUUUAUCUAUGACGUCAAGAUCUCGAACGUGGUCGAUAGUUUGUUGAGGCAAAACUAGAACACGGUUAUGUUUUCCAACAGAGAAAUAUUAUAAAUAUGUAGCCAUAUAUCACUUUUUAACAUAAACGCUAAAUGGCUCUUGGAUUAAUUUUAAUCGGAAUUCUUCUGAUACUGCCAGGGAAUCUGUUUGAAAGCUUAAAUUCGCACCAAACAGGUUUGUAUUUUUGUUUUAUGCAGCUGUUUUCGCAGGAUAAUUUGUAAACA
rnacentral:lncRNA from 1 species